AGCGAACGCUGGCGGCAUGCCUAACACAUGCAAGUCGCACGGGGGGGCUUCGGCCUCCCAGUGGCGGACGGGUGAGGAACGCGUAGGGACCUGUCGAGGGGUGGGGGAUAACCGCGGGAAACUGCGGCUAAUACCGCAUGACGCCGCGGCGUGACAGCCGGGGCCAAAGGCGAAAGCCGCCCGCCGAGGGGCCUGCGUCCGAUUAGCUGGUUGGCGGGGUAGCGGCCCACCAAGGCGUCGACCGGGAGCUGGUCUGAGAGGGUGAUCAGCCACACCGGGACUGAGACACGGCCCGGACUCCUACGGGAGGCAGCAGUGGGGAAUAUUGGACAAUGGGCGCAAGCCUGAUCCAGCAAUGCCGCGUGGGUGAAGAAGGUCUUCGGAUUGUAAAGCCCUUUCGGCGGGGACGAUGGUGACGGUACCCGCAGAAGAAGCCCCGGCUAACUUCGUG
rnacentral:rRNA from 1 species